AUGAUACAACUGCCAGUGGGUAUGUCUGAAGAGCAGCUUCUCCAGUUGACGGUUAUGCGGGCUAAGGGUGGUGGACUGGGUUUACUCUACAUAUCAGGCUUCACCGCCCAAUUAUGGAAGAGGAAGACCGACUGUGAUGGUGCUGCAUCAUGGGGGAUGGAAAGCACUAUUGAAGUGGACAAGCUGCUUUCCCUGAAUCCGGAGAAGGAGAGAGUUCGCCCUUUGAUAGAAGGGCUUGCCGAGUACAAUAAUGUGGUGUUCCUGACUACAGGUGAUGGUGUCAUCAUGCUGCAGCUUGAGUCAUUGCAAUUCAAGAAAUUUUACGAGAUUAGCGACGGUUUUUAUCAUUAUCCAUUCGAAAGUGUCUAUUCUGCAGGUAAUAGCAUGCCUUUACGUAUACUUAAUUGUGCUAGCUGUAGUGUUCUGCUGGAUGCUUGUGUGGUGGUGUUUUAUGUAAUGUUCAUGACCUGGAAAAAUAUUUGUUAG
rnacentral:rRNA from 1 species